GAGAAACAGCUACCACAUCAAGGAAGGCAGCAGGCACGCAAAUUACCCACUCCCGGCACGGGGAGGUAGUGACAAAAAAUAACGAUACGGGACUCAUCCGAGGCCCCGUAAUCGGAAUGAGAACACUUUAAAACCUUUAACAAGGAUCUAUUGGAGGGAAAGUCUGGUGCCAGCAUCCGCGGUAAUUCCAGCUCCAAUAGCGUAUAUUAAAGUUGUUGCGGUUAAAAAGCUCGUAGUUGGUUCUGUGUGCCAUGCUGUUGGUUCACCGCCUGCCGGUGUAACUGACAUGUCAUGGGACGUCCUGUCGGUGGUAAUUAAAGGCCUAUUUUUUAGAAAAGGCUCUGCCUCCAAUAAUUAAUAGGUUACUUUAAUUACCGAUUAAUACCUGCCGCGGUGCUCUUUACUGAGUGUCGAGGUAGGCCGACACGUUUACUUUGAACAAAUUAAAGUGCUUAAAGCAGGCAAAAGUCUGCCUGAAUAGUAGUGCAUGGAAUAAUAAAAUAAGACCUUGGUUCUAUUUUGUUGGUUUUCUGAAUUUAAGGUAAUGAUCAAUAUGGACAGUCGGGGGCAUCCGUAUUGCGACGUUAGAGGUGAAAUUCUUGGAUCGUCGCAAGACGAACUAAAGCGAAAGCAUUUGCCAAGUAUGUCUUAAUUGAUCAAGAACGAAAGUUAGAGGCUCGAAGGCGAUCAGAUACCGCCCUAGUUCUAACCAUAAACGAUAUCAACUAGCGAUCCGUCGAUGUUUUUUUCAUGACUUGACGGGCAGCUUCCGGGAAACCAAAGCUUUUGGGUUCCGGGGGAAGUAUGGUUGCAAAGCUGAAACUUAAAGGAAUUGACGGAAGGGCACCACCAGCAGUGGAGCCUGCGGUUCAAUUUGACUCAACACUGGAAAGCUUACCAGGCCCAGACAUUAGAAGGAUUGACAGAUUGAUAGCUCUUUCUUGAUUAAGUGGAUAGUGGUGCAUGGCCGUUCUUAGUUCGUGGAGUGAUUUGUCUGGUAU
rnacentral:rRNA from 1 species